rnacentral:rRNA from 1 species
UGCAGGGUAUAGACCCGAAACCCGGUGAUCUAGCCAUGGGCAGGUUGAAGGUUGGGUAACACUAACUGGAGGACCGAACCGACUAAUGUUGAAAAAUUAGCGGAUGACGUGUGGCUGGGGGUGAAAGGCCAAUCAAACCGGGAGAUAGCUGGUUCUCCCCGAAAGCUAUUUAGGUAGCGCCUCGUGAACUCAUCUUCGGGGGUAGAGCACUGUUUCGGCUAGGGGGUCAUCCCGACUUACCAACCCGAUGCAAACUACGAAUACCGAAGAAUGUUAUCACGGGAGACACACGGCGGGUGCUAACGUCCGUCGUGAAGAGGGAAACAACCCAGACCGCCAGCUAAGGUCCCAAAGUCAUAGUUAAGUGGGAAACGAAGUGGGAAGGCUCAGACAGCC